UUAAGAAAAUAUAAACCGUUAUGUCCACACCCGACCGAUGGAUAACAUGACCCAGCAAGCAUAAGCCCAAUAGCAAUAUGCAAUCCAGUCCAAAACUAUUCAGCAUGAAACCCUAGCUAUAUAAAGUUUAUAUCACCAUCUCAAUUCAUUCACACCUCGCCUCUAACUCGUUCUCUCAACAGAAACGGAGGAACCAAAAUGAAAAAAUCUUAGCUUGAAUCUUUCCACCUUAUUUGAAACGAGCAAUCCAUUACAUAGCUUGUUCUUCAUCUCUUUAUCUCACAUACACUCUUCAUUUCUCCUAUCUCUUACUAUUCAGAACAACCAAGAAAGCUUGUGUAAGGAUCCUUUGGAAAAUGGAAACCGUUGAAGUUAAUGGUACAGUGUUGAUUUCUAUGAUGUUCCCUAUGUUUGCCAAUGUUGAUUUCUAUGAUGUUUAACAAAUUACAAAAAAAUAUAGGAAGAAGAAUGAAUGAUAGUGUUUGUGUGAUUUAAAGAAACCAGCUUCCUGAGAUUAGAAGAAGAUGAACAUAGGAGUUAGCUUAUGCUGUCAAAGAAGGAUAAAGGUCCUUGAAAGAAGAAGAAUCUUGCUUAUUUUGAAGUUGUUACUUAGUGAGUAAUUGUUUGGUGUGCUGUGAUGAAUUCCAUGGUAGAUGUUGGACAUUUUCUAAUUAAUGCUUUUAUUUUAAUUACUUAACCUUAAUUGUGUGGAUGUUAUUUACCACUAAACACUCUUCUUAAAUGUAAUGAAGCAAGCAGGCC